CAGGGAUUGCCUUAGUAACGGCGAGUGAAGCGGCAACAGCUCAAAUUUGAAAUCUGGCCCCUAGGGUCCGAGUUGUACUUUGUAGAGGAUGUUUUUGGCACGGUGCCUUCCGAGUUCCCUGGAACGGGACGCCACAGAGGGUGAGAGCCCCGUAUGGUUGGACACUACUCCUUUGUUGAGCUCCUUCUUCGAGUCGAGUAGUUUGGGAAUGCUGCUCUUAAUGGGAGGAAAAUCUCUUCUAAAGCUAAAUACUGGCGACAGAACAAUAGCGCACAACUAGAGUGAUGAAAAGAUGAAAAGCACCUUGAAGAGGGGGUUAAACAGUACGUGAAAUUGUUGAAAGGGAAGCACUUGUCGCCACACGAGUGCCGGCGGUUCCGCAGGGGCUUGCCGCUGUCGAUGCCGUUGUGUACAGGCCACCAUCUGUUUUCUCCGGGGGAGAAGAACAGGCGGAACAUGGCUCUUUCGACAGUGUUGUAGCCUUCCUUACGAUGACCUGGCGGGGACAGAGG
rnacentral:rRNA from 1 species